AAGUAGAAUCCUGAAAGGGUCACGACUCGGUAUCCAGUCCGAAGCUAUCACAGUGUUGCAUGGCUGUCGUCAGCUCGUGUCGUGAGACGUUGGGUUAAGUCCCCUAACGAGCGAAACCCUUGUCUUUAGUUGCUAACGGGUAAUGCUGAGCACUUUAGAGAGACUGCCGUCGUUAAGACGAGAAHHGACGACGUCAAGUCAUCAUGCCCUUAUGUCCCGGGCUGCACACGUGCUACAAUGGUCGGUACAAAGGGAUGCUAAGUCGCGAGAUGGUGCGAAACCUAUAAAGCCGAUCUCAGUUCAGAUUGGAGGCUGAAACUCGCCUCCAUGAAGUUGGAAUCGCUAGUAAUCGCGGAUCACGUACGCCGCGGUGAAUAUGUUCCCGAGCCUUGUAUCACACCGCCCGUCAAGCCACCCAAGCAAGAUGCACCCAAAAUCGCCUGCCUAACCCGUAAGGGAGGGAAGUGCCUAAGGUGUGUUUUGUGAGGAGGACUAAGUCGUAACAAGGUAACC
rnacentral:rRNA from 1 species